CGUGCCAUGCUAAACUGCGCCAUUGCCUAAAAUAAACCAAAGCUGGCGACAGGUAGAAUGUGCACGCAGAGCAAAUUUGGUUUCAAUAUCCUAGUGUUUGAAGCGACACUCCUCUUCCUACUCUCUUGGAACUUGAAACGACAAU
rnacentral:snoRNA from 1 species